ACCUACAUCUGCAUAUACUUGUGAAGACUGAUACUGUGGCAUAUACUGUGUUGCCAUGUCGCCAGCUCCAGUCACUGGAGCAGCAGCCAGCGAACAAGAAAACCCAACAAGGAAACGGCGUAGUACACGUUAGCAGCUUUAAUUGGAGAACAGUUUCGCUUUUUUUUUUUCCUCAAAGCUGGUAAGAGGAAAAGAUCCUUUGACCGAGUCACGUGACCGCUAUCACAUGACCUACAGUGAACCGGGAAAGACCGGGAGAGGAAACAGCGCAGAGUGUAACCUGGGGUGCUACUGAAACAAAACACUUCAAAGGCUGCUUCAGCUGCUUUCCUGACUGCACCGCGUUCUGCCUUAAAAGCCAAAAUAAACCCUAAUCACAAGAACCUGGUGGACAGGCACGCGAUGGAAAACCAUCCUCUUCUGUGUUUACCGUUUGACUAACCCAGCAUGCUGCUGUCUUUCACACAGAAAGACUGGGGUAAAAUGAAUUCCAAAGCUUUGAUCC
rnacentral:lncRNA from 1 species